rnacentral:rRNA from 1 species
UGGGGAAUAUUGGGCAAUGGGCGCAAGCCUGACCCAGCAACGCCGCGUGAAGGAAGAAGGCUUUCGGGUUGUAAACUUCUUUUAUGAGGGACGAAUCAUGACGGUACCUCAUGAAUAAGCCACGGCUAACUACGUGCCAGCAGCCGCGGUAAUACGUAGGUGGCGAGCGUUAUCCGGAUUUACUGGGUGUAAAGGGCGUGUAGGCGGGAUGGUAAGUCAGAUGUGAAAACUCGGGGCUCAACCCCGAGCCUGCAUUUGAAACUAUCGUUCUUGAGUGUUGGAGAGGCAGGCGGAAUUCCGUGUGUAGCGGUGAAAUGCGUAGAUAUACGGAGGAACACCAGUGGCGAAGGCGGCCUGCUGGACAAUAACUGACGCUGAGGCGCGAAAGCGUGGGGAGCAAACAGG